AAUUGGAGGGCAAGUCUGGUGCCAGCAGCCGCGGUAAUUCCAGCUCCAAUAGCGUAUAUUAAAGUUGUUGCAGUUAAAAAGCUCGUAGUUGAAUUUCGGGAUUGACGUGAUGGUCGUGCCUUAAGGGGUAUGAACUGUCGCAGUUGAUUUCUCACCUUCUGGAGAAGCAUGAUGUCCUUAAUUGGGUGUCAUGUGGAACCAGGACCUUUACCUUGGAAAAAUUAGAGUGUUUAAAGCAGGCAUUUUGCUCGAAUACAUUAGCAUGGAAUAAUAGAAUAGGACGGCAUGGUUCUAUUUUGUUGGUUUCUAGGAUCACCGUAAUGAUUAAUAGGGAUAGUUGGGGGCAUUAGUAUUCAAUUGUCAGAGGUGAAAUUCUUGGAUUUAUUGAAGACUAACUACUGCGAAAGCAUUUGCCAAGGAUGUUUUCAUUAAUCAAGAACGAAAGUUAGGGGAUCGAAGACGAUCAGAUACCGUCGUAGUCUUAACCAUAAACUAUGCCGACUAGGAAUCAGACGAUGUUAAUUUUUUAAUGACUCGUUUGGCACCUUACGGGAAACCAAAGUGU
rnacentral:rRNA from 1 species